rnacentral:lncRNA from 1 species
CACCAACUACUAAAACCUCAACAUCAAAAACUUUUUUUUUUCACCUAAGUUACUAGAUUAGUUUGUUAUUAGGCAGAUUCUUCAUGAUGAAUGAUGAUAGUGAUGACCAUCUGUUGAUGGUCGAUCUACAAGAAUGUGAAUUGAAAGAAUCUAAAACGCCUCGUAUAAGAAAAGAAUCAUACCGGAUUGUUGUUGUUAACUUUGGUUGAGUCUUGGAGAUUUCAUUAAUCUGAUGAUGGUUCACUGGAAUUAUCAUCUGGCUUUCUCGCUACCCUUAGCGUCGUGUUACUGGUUAGUCCACGUCCCUUAGCAAGUUUGCUCUGGACAUCAGCCUAUUUCUUUACCUAUUUCUCAAUAUUUAGGUUAAAUUUAUUGUAUUGUAAUGUUGCUACGAGUAUUUCUAGCGAUGUUUGAAUUUUAUUUUGUUCGUGUGCUUAGCCUAAGUGAUAAUGGUGCUUAACCAUUUUCUUUUAGAAAUAGAAAAUAAUGGCAAAAAAUAACAUAUAGCAAAACACAUAUAUUGUAUAUUUACACAUAUUUUCUUAGCAAAAACCCGGAAAAACUAUACAUUUUUCAGAUAGAUUUUUAAUAUAGUUUUCUAUUUCUUAUAUUGUAUAUUUAUUUAGUAUUUAGGUUUUCUUAUAUUUUAUAUUUAUAUAUUCAAUUGUUUUGCUUUAAUAUUAAGUGGUAAUAUUACGAAAGAUGUUUAAUGUAAUAUUUCUAUUUCAAUUUCUUAUAUUGUAUAUUUAUUUAUUAUUUAUUUUACUAUAUAUAUUUCAGAUAUAUGUUUAAUUUAAUUUUUUUAUUUAUUAUAAUGUAUAUAUACUUAUUUUUUGUUUUUUCUUAUACUGUAUAUUUGCUUAUCUAAUAUUAUGUUAGAUAUUUAAUGUAAUAUUUAUAUUUCUUAUAUUAUAUAUUUACUUAUUAUUUAUUUUACUAUACAUUUUUAAAAUAAUUAUUUAAUUUAGUUUUUUACAUUUCUUAAUUGUAUAUUUAUUUAUUCUAAUUUUCUAUUAUGAUAGAUGUUUAAUGCAAUAUUUCUAUUUUUAUAUUGCAUAUUUACUUGUUAUUUAUUUUUCUUAAUGUUGUAUAUUUACUUAUUAUGAAUUUUAUGUGUUUUUAUAGUAAUAAUGUCAUAUGACAUUUUUUAGAAGAUGGAUUUUAUACUGAUGUGGACACUGCAUGGAAUUUCAAAUAGUCUUUUUUAUUAGUAUAGAUUGUAUUUGACCCCUUCCCUUUUGCUUUCUUCUUUAGCAAGUUUCAUUUAUUUAAUACUCAAUCUAUUUCUUUUUGUAUGUAUUUUAAAUUAUAUAUAUUUUCUAAUUUAUAUGAUGUUUUAAAUUUAUUAUGUUAUUAUUAAAAUUAUUGAUUAAAAUAUUAAAAGGAAAUUAGUAAACGUUUCUAUAGUUUCCAAAAUUUACAUGAUUUACAAAAAAGUCAAACAACAUUUAGUCACCAAAAUUUUAUUGUCUCUUUUAUUAACAUCCAAUUUAUAUCUUCUAAGACUUGUUUUUUAUUGUCUACUUCGUCACCAAAUCAUUUGUUGAACAAAUGGAUCCAAAAGAAAAAAAUAAUAGAAGAACAAAUAGAAGACAAAGAAAGUAACUCAAGAAAUACGGUGGCAAGUGAACAGAUGAAGGUCUUCCGGUUCUCGGGGAUCACACGCACUUUGGGUUACAUCGAUGGAGUGGUCAACCGAUGGUCUAACCUAGCAAAGGUUUGUGGCAGUGGCUCUACAUACCAGCACCGGGAAAGUUGCUUCUAAACCGGUGGUACGAGCUCUGUUUCUCUGGAAGCUUGGAUUCUUGACUCUGGCUCGUGCUUUGUUUCAGAUGAACCCCGUCUUUCAGUUCAGAUCUUGUGUCCGAUUUAGGCUGAGGGUCUCAGUAUUGAAACCCAAGGAGACAAUCUCGAUGUUGCACCUUUUGGUGAAGAUGCUAAUGGGACAAGGACUUCAAUGCUGAUUAUAAGGAACCCAUAGUUUGUUUCAAUUGUACUCGGGUGUAGACAUUAUCUUUGGGUUAGUAAAUGAUUUUGUACCAUGAGGUCAAUUUAGAUGUUGUUGAAGAGAUGGAUCAGUCCGAGUCGUGGAUUGGUUUCAUUCUCAUUGUGGUUCAAAAUGCAUUGGGUCUAGGUUAGGUAACAUUAGUUCCAAUCAAGUGAGCUAGGGUGGUAAUAGACCGACUCAAUGCAUUUGUGGUUAAAGUCUCUUGUCGUCAAGUUUCUUGUAUCAUGACUUGGUAAAUGAAAAGUACGAAGUUGAGUUAAAAAAGAAAAAAGUAACUCAAGAUAUGUGAAAAGAAUCUAUGAAACACAUUCAGUUUAGAAAUUAGAAUGAAACAAAUUACAUGUGGAAAAAGAAGAGUAUCA